rnacentral:siRNA from 1 species
UAUAUCUUGUUGGGCCGGCCCACC